rnacentral:lncRNA from 1 species
AAAAUAUUCUUUGUCAUAAUUAUCUUAUAUAUAAAUAAUAGGAUUAAUUUUAUACAGGUCUUGCAAAUAUAAUGAAAUUUCUGUAAAAUUUAAUUUUCAUAUAUUAUUCCUGCAAAAGUUCUAAUAUUUUCAAAUAUAUACUUCUGUUUGUUACCAUUAAAAUAUUGUCUAUUUAUAAGUAAAAUGAUCUUUUUGCCAUUAUAGAUAUGUCCCUUUUGUUAAUUGAAGAAAAGUAAAAAAAUCAAUUCACCUCAUUAACCAACUACGAUUAAGUAUUUAACUUAUGAUUAACUAAAUUUUUCUAACGGAUUCUAACGAUAUGGAUAUAUUUGAAAAUAUCAAAUUUUUUGGAAGAACAAUAUAUAAAAAUUGAACUUUGUAGGAAUAUAUUUAUAAUUUACCAUAUUUAUCGGAACAUAUAUGUAGUUAACCCUAAAUAAUAAUAUACCUAAUUAUAGUU